ACGGGGCGCAGCAGGCGCGAAAACUUUACAAUGCGGGAAACCGUGAUAAGGGGACACCGAGUGCCAGCAUCAUAUGCUGGCUGUCCAGAUGUGUAAAAUACAUCUGUUAGCAAGGGCCGGGCAAGACCGGUGCCAGCCGCCGCGGUAACACCGGCGGCCCGAGUGGUGAUCGUGAUUAUUGGGUCUAAAGGGUCCGUAGCCGGUUUGGUCAGUCCUCCGGGAAAUCUGAUGGCUCAACCAUUAGGCUUUCGGGGGAUACUGCCAGGCUUGGAACCGGGAGAGGUAAGAGGUACUACAGGGGUAGGAGUGAAAUCUUGUAAUCCCUGUGAGACCACCUGUGGCGAAGGCGUCUUACCAGAACGGGUUCGACGGUGAGGGACGAAAGCUGGGGGCACGAACCGGAUUAGAUACCCGGGUAGUCCCAGCCGUAAACGAUGCUCGCUAGGUGUCAGGCAUGGCGCGACCGUGUCUGGUGCCGCAGGGAAGCCGUGAAGCGAGCCACCUGGGAAGUACGGCCGCAAGGCUGAAACUUAAAGGAAUUGGCGGGGGAGCACAACAACGGGUGGAGCCUGCGGUUUAAUUAGACUCAACGCCGGACAACUCACCGGGGACGACAGCAAU
rnacentral:rRNA from 1 species